rnacentral:rRNA from 1 species
UACGAAGGGGGCUAGCGUUGCUCGGAAUCACUGGGCGUAAAGCGCACGUAGGCGGAUUGCUAAGUCAGGGGUGAAAUCCUGGAGCUCAACUCCAGAACUGCCUUUGAUACUGGCGAUCUCGAGUCCGGGAGAGGUGAGUGGAACUGCGAGUGUAGAGGUGAAAUUCGUAGAUAUUCGCAAGAACACCAGUGGCGAAGGCGGCUCACUGGCCCGGAACUGACGCUGAGACGCGAAAGCGUGGGGAGCAAACAGG